rnacentral:rRNA from 1 species
AACGAACGCUGGCGGCAUGCCUAACACAUGCAAGUCGAACGAGACCUUCGGGUCUAGUGGCGCACGGGUGCGUAACGCGUUGGAACCUGCCCUUAGGUUCGGCAUAACUCCCCGAAAGGGGUGCUAAUACCGGCUCUUGUCUUCCAACCAAAGAUUUAUCGCCUUUGGAUGGGCCUGCGUUGGAUUAGCUUGUUGUUAGGGUAAAAGCCUACCAAUGCGACGUUCCAUAGCUGGUCUGAGAGGAUGAUCAGCCACACUGGGACUGAGACACGGCCCAGACUACUACGGGAGGCAGCAGUGGGGAAUAUAGGACAAUGGGCGAAAGCCUGAACCAGCAAUGCCGGGUGAGUGAUGAAGGCCGUAGGGUUGUAAAGCUAGUUUACCCGGGAUGAUAAUGACAGUACCGGGAGAAUAAGCGCCGGCUAACUCCGUG